GAUGAACGCUAGCGGCAGGCUUAAUACAUGCAAGUCGAGGGGCAGCAUGAAGUAGCCAUCCUUUGAUGGCGACCGGCAAACGGGUGCGGAACACGUACACAACCUUCCUUUAAGUGGGGAAUAGCCCAGAGAAAUUUGGAUUAAUACCCCGUAACACAACGAAGUGGCAUCACUUUGUUGUUAUAGUUUCGGCGCUUAAUGAUGGGUGUGCGUAUGAUUAGAUAGUUGGCGAGGUAACGGCUCACCAAGUCUACGAUCAUUAGCUGAUGUGAGAGCAUGAUCAGCCACACGGGCACUGGGACACGGGCCCGACUCCUACGGGAGGCAGCAGUAAGGAAUAUUGGUCAAUGGACGCAAGUCUGAACCAGCCAUGCCGCGUGAAGGAUUAAGGUCCUCUGGAUUGUAAACUUCUUUUAUAUGGGACGAAAAAAGGUCUUUCUAGACCCCUUGACGGUACCAUAUGAAUAAGCACCGGCUAACUCCGUG
rnacentral:rRNA from 1 species